rnacentral:lncRNA from 1 species
AAAAAAUGGUAAAAUAAAUGCUACAAGAACAUAGGAGAGAUAGGAAUAAAAAGUGGUAACAAAAAUAACUUUAUUUAUUAUUUUAUUUUUUUUCUUUUGUAUACAAUUUACAGACAACAUGUUAAAAACGUGUAACACAAAAUGGAAGUAAGCAGUUUGUGUAAAGAAACAAAAUGGUUGAAAACAAUGUCACGUCUAGUAUGUCGGAAACGAAUUUUAUUGCUUAUGAUAUAAAUUUAAAUCAAAGUAAAAUGGGUGAUGUAAAUUUUUUAAAUGAUUCAAUUUUUUGGGAAGAUAAAAAUAGUAAUAAAUUUGAAAGUGAUAACUAUUACCAAAAAAUAAAAUAUGACUUAUUACGAAUUGAAAGAAAUAUAAACACAGAAGUUAAAAAACGAAUUGAAGCAAAUAGAAAUAUACAACAGUUAAUAGAAAAUACAGCUAAUAAAAUGAUAAAUAAUGUAUUAAAUAAAAUAACAACAAAAAUUGAAAAUAUUUCUUUUGAGUUAGAUAAAAUAAUUAAAAAAUGUGAAGAGUUAGAAAAGGGAAUUAGUCAAAUAAAAGCUGAUUUACCAGCUAAAAUACAAACAGACAUGACGAAUUUAAAAAAAGAAAUAAAUGAUUUCCAAAUUGUUAUUAAUAAAUAUAUAAAUAAUAAAAAAAAAAGAGAUAAUAUAUUAUUUGGAAAAAUUGAAAACAUAAAUGUUUACAUAAAUAGUAAAGUAAAUUGUGAAAUAUCUUAUAAACAAGAAGAUUUAUUAGUAUUAAAAAAUGAAAGUGAUAAAUUAUUAAAUUAUUAUACAAAUGAAGAUAUGAACUUUAAAAAUAUAUUUAUUGAAGAAAUGGAAGAAAUAAAAAAUGCUCUUGCUUUAACAAUAAAAGAAAGAGAGCAGUCUGAUGAUGACAUUAUACAAGCUAUGAACAAAUACACCAGUACCUUGCAGAAGGCGUUACAAACAGUUAUUAUGGGCAAUAAUUGAAAUAACACAUGGUAGUAAUAUAUAUAUAUAUAUAUAUAUAUAUAUAUAUAUGUUUAUCAAUUUCAUGCAAUUUCUUUUCCUUUUCCUUUUUUUGCUUUUGAAAGCUUUUCCUUGCUCCUAUAUAACAUAAGGAAAUGCUGCCUUUCAAUUUUGCGAAACUUUUUCUUUUUUUUUUAAUUGUACUAAUUUUAGAGUUGUAUUAUUUAUGUCUUAUUUUAUUUAUUUUUUCUAUUUUACGGUUUAUUCAUUACUGUUUGUUUAGAGGGCUUAUUCUUUUACUCGUUUAUUUGCUUUUUUUUUUUUUUUUUUUUAUUUUUCUUUUAAUUUGUUUUCUUUGCACAAUUUUUUUUUUUUCUUUUUCCAUUUCUUUAUUUCUUAUUCUUUAUUUUUUAUUCUUUUUUUUCCAUUUUUUUUUGUAAUCAUUUUUCCUUUUUUUAAUAUAAUAUUUAACAAAAAAGUUUAGUUAUAUAUUUUUUUUUAAUUUUUUUUUAAAUAUUUUGAUUUUUUUAUUUUAUUUUUUUUUGUUCAUGUUAAUGAACAGUCAGAAAAAAUAGCGAUACUUCCAAAAAAUUAAAAAAUGAGAGUUAAAAAAAAAUGAAAGUUAAAAAAAAAUGAAAGUUAAAAAAAGCUGAAAGUUAAAAAAAAAUGAAAGUUAAAAAAAAAUGAAAGUUAAAAAAAACUGAAAGCUAUAAUAAAAGUUAAAAUACAAUUUAUAGUAAAAUUUAU